rnacentral:rRNA from 1 species
UGAGUAACCUGCCCUUAACUCUGGAUAAGCCUGGGAAACUGGGUCUAAUACCGGAUAUGACUCCUCAUCGCAUGGUGGGGGGUGGAAAGCUUUAUUGUGGUUUUGGAUGGACUCGCGGCCUAUCAGCUUGUUGGUGAGGUAAUGGCUCACCAAGGCGACGACGGGUAGCCGGCCUGAGAGGGUGACCGGCCACACUGGGACUGAGACACGGCCCAGACCUCCACGGGAGGCAG